CUUGCGUAGAUAUUAGAGAAGAUAUAUUGGAACGAUAUAGAGAAGAUUAAUAGCAUGUCUCAUGCACAAGAUGACAUGUAUAAAUAGGGAAAUAUACAAUUAUUAG